AGAAAUGAGGAAGCAUACACACAUUGGAGAGACUUGACAAGGCUCUUCCUCCCAAAGAGUGGAAUAUAAGUCUAAUUAAGGAACUUUACAAACCUACAGGAAAGGAAGUUUUUACAAAGGUUAUCUAGCAGGAUUUCACGACCGUAACAAACCAGAGAUUGCUUUUUUCUGCUAAUGUGAAAACAUAUUCUCUUCCGAGAGCUUCAUUAAAAGAGAAUCACUAGAUACCGAACAGAUACAACUUUUAUUAUGUUGGUGGUUUUGUCUGGUAUUGCAAGAAGUAGAGAAAGUAUGGAUGAGGGGAAUAGAAUGUAUUUGCCAGAAGACUACAGUCAAUUGUUACAUACAAUUCU